CCCAGAAACUAGGUCAGUUUGAAUUUUGACAUUUAUUUUAUUAACCAGAAAGUUCCACUGAGAUUUUGAAACCCUGGAAGGAGGAGAAGGAGGAGAAGCCGUACACGCUGCAAAAACUCAAAUCUGAGUAAGUGUUAAGGUCUUAAUUUAAUUCACAUUCAAAAACACGUCAUUUUACUCCAACAUGCUUAAAAAUACUGAAUUUUUUUGGCAUGUUUUUGACAUGUAGUAUCCAUGUUUCUGGACUUUGGACUCAAAUGAAGCUGAAUAAGACACCAUUUACUUCAAAUAAGGCAAAAACAUUUAAUGAGAUUGAGUCUCAAACACAUCAAAAAAAUUGACACAAACACGACGACAUGGAGACAUGAAGUAGAAAUCUGCAGCACAACGCUUGUAAAGUGCUGGAUCUGUGAUCAGCCACAUUGGACUCAUUUAUUCCCAGUUUUUAAAAUUACCAUUGUUUGUGUUGUAAAAAUGAUCAUCUUGCACACUUGGGCGAACAGAUGCAUUGAUAAGAAAACAAGAUAAUUAUAUUUUUCAUGCAUAAUAACCCGGUUCCUCAUGAAUAUGAACAAGAUUCGUGCUCAGGACACAGAAGUCCCUGCUAAAGCACUUAAUUGUCUUUUUUUCUGUACUCCAACAUCCUUAAUUUGGCUUUAGUGAAAGUUUGAAAACAAACUAAAUUUAAUUACAAGCACACUUACAAUAUAAUUAACAUAGUGUGUAAUCUGGGAUUGUAUCGUCCAACCUCUAAUGUGUUUCUACAUGUCCAAUGAAGCAGAUGCAUUGCUAUUCCACUGCUGGAAAACAUGGUAAACAAAUACAACAUUAGUAGAGGCACUUACUUUUUCAUUACCGUCUUUGUUAUCGCUGUCACUAUCUGUUUUUCACACUGGUUAAGCAGCACCCUGGAUAACGUGCCGCCUGUUAAUUUCACACCCGAUUCCAGAGGCUGCAGCCCUCCUUCUCUUCGCCGUUAUUUCCCUCAGGACAUCGCAG